UUUGAUAGGUAAUUUAAGGUCUAAUCUGCCCACUGAGUAAUUAAAUGGCCGCAGUAUUUUGACUGUGCAAAGGUAGCAUAAUCAUUAGUUUUUUAAUUGAAAGCUAGAAUGAAUGAUUGGACGAGAUAAGGUCUGUCUCUUAAUAAAAAUUAGAAAUUAAUUUUUAAGUUAAAAAGCUUAAAUAUAAAUAAAAGACGAGAAGACCCUAUAGAUUUUAAUUUAAUUAAUGUAUUAUAUAUAAGGAUUAAGUAAUUUAAUAUAUAAUUUUAAAUUUUAUUGGGGUAAUAAAUAGAUUAUAUUAAUUCUUUUAUAUUUUUAUAUAAAUUAAUAAAUUUUUGAUCCAUGAUAAUGAUUAAAAGAUUAAAUUACCUUAGGGAUAACAGCGUAAUUUUGUUUGAGAGUUCUUAUCGAUAAUGAAGUUUGCGACCUCGAUGUUGGAUUAAAAUUAGUUUUAAAUGCAGAAGUUUAAAAUUUUAGUCUGUUCGACUAUUAAAUUUUU
rnacentral:rRNA from 1 species